rnacentral:lncRNA from 1 species
AUGAUCAUGAGUGGUUUGUUGUAUAUUUAUUGUUCUAAGUGGAGUGAUGGGUUAAGGAAAGUGAAGAAGGGAUAAAGAAGCUUUUAAUUUAGCAGUAGGGACAAUGUGUUUUUCCUUUUUCUGGGUAUUGACAAAAGUUAGGAACAUUGGUAACUAAAGUGGAGCUACAUUCAGAUUUGGAUUUUGAAUGUUGGUGGUAUUCGUACGUGGUAAUGUUUGAGAAAGUUCUGAAAAAUUAGUUCAACAGAGCCCACACAUUCUCUGUUUACCCUUUAAGGAUGUCAUGUCAGAAUUCUAUAUUUCGAUUACCUCAUUUCAGUAAUAUAUUAAUCACAAUGCUAACAUAUGAUUAAAUCAUUAGUCUGAAGAGAAUAUUCUUCAAUAUUCUUGAGAUUAUAAUUGUUGGGAAUAGAAUUUUUUUUUUAAUAUUAAGAUGAG